UACGUAGGGUGCAAGCGUUAAUCGGAAUUACUGGGCGUAAAGCGUGCGCAGGCGGUUCGCUAAGACCGAUGUGAAAUCCCCGGGCUUAACCUGGGAACUGCAUUGGUGACUGGCGGGCUAGAGUAUGGCAGAGGGGGGUAGGAAUUCCACGUGUAGCAGUGAAAUGCGUAGAGAUGUGGAGGAAUACCGAUGGCGAAGGCAGCCCCCUGGGCCAAUACUGACGCUCAUGCACGAAAGCGUGGGGAGCAAACAGG
rnacentral:rRNA from 1 species